CAAACGAAUUUGUUGAGAAUGGUCACGUGACCAAGCGUGAACUAAUGUCAAUUGUCAAUCUUUGUUAUUUAAUAUUUAUUAUUUGUAUUUUGUAAUUUGUAUACUUAUUUCAGAUUUCGGACGAUGGACCAUGGUCUUAGGUCAAUGAAAUAACCCGAUCUAACUAUUAAAUAAUGUUACCUGAAACUGAACCGUGUCAGAAACAACUUGCAAGGGCAAAAUUACGAGAGUCAUUUCUAAGAUCUGUUAUGGAAUUAGAAGGGAAAGUUUGUAAAAUUGUAACAUAUGAAAAAUCAAUGUUGGAAGCUACAUUUUCGGGUUGGAAUCCAGAUGGCUCAGAGAUACUUGUUCAAAAUAUGAAAACACCUGCAAAUUUACAAAUGGAUUCUGCUAUUUUAAGAACACCAGAUAUUCUAUCAAUUACCUUUGUAAAUAGUCUCGAAUAAAGUUAAAACAUACCAA